GACGAACGCUGGCGGCGUGCUUAACACAUGCAAGUCGAACGGUGAAGCGAGUGCUUGCACUCGUGGAUCAGUGGCGAACGGGUGAGUAACACGUGAGUAACCUGCCCAUCACUCUGGGAUAAGCACUGGAAACGGUGUCUAAUACUGGAUACGACCAACCCUUGCAUGGGGUGUUGGUGGAAAGAUUUAUCGGUGAUGGAUGGACUCGCGGCCUAUCAGCUUGUUGGCGGGGUAAUGGCCCACCAAGGCGACGACGGGUAGCCGGCCUGAGAGGGUGACCGGCCACACUGGGACUGAGACACGACCCAGACUCCUACGGGAGGCAGCAGUGGGGAAUAUUGCACAAUGGGCGAAAGCCUGAUGCAGCGACGCCGCGUGAGGGAUGACUGCCUUCGGGUUGUAAACCUCUUUCAGCAGGGAAGAAGCGAAAGGGACGGUACCUGCAGAAGAAGCACCGGCUAACUACGU
rnacentral:rRNA from 1 species